rnacentral:tRNA from 1 species
UUGUGCUAUUACUUGGGUCGGUGGUGGGGUUGUUAUCCCCGGAGGAGGGACUCAUGGG